AUAUCGGCGCAAGCAGCUUCAACGACGGAUGCAACAUGAAAAUAACUGGCACCAAUUAUUAUAACACCUUAUUGGUCGUCGUUACUAUUGUUAAAAGUAAAACGAAAUCAAAGAGAAUAGAACUAUGUUUGAAUUCUGGUUUAAAUAUGACGUCUGGACGCACGACGGGGAACUGCAGAGUUCAGCGAGUGCGGAGCAUAAAGAAUGUGAUUAUGAAGAACCUUCGAGAAAUACAAGAACAUUUAGAAGAAUUGAAGUUUCAUUUUAAAAUAUCUGGAACUUACUGAAACAAGUGACAUAAGUGACGUCAGCGAGGCUGGCGUCCUGUCUUUAAAAUAAUGAAUUUGUAAUAAAUCCGAUAUCAGAAGUGGGAUCGCUCCUGUGAUCAGUUACUGCCGGUCUUAGUGUAUUUAUAAAUCCUGAUUCAGCUCAAGAAAAUAAUCAUCCGGACAACUUGUGUAAUGAAGAACGCUCCUCAGUCUUUCAUGCAAAGGAUGUCAAUAUUGCAGAGCGUGACCGAACGUUUGCUAUUAAAAAAACAAGGGAUACGAUUAAAAUUACUAACAAGAUCAUAUUAAUUUUAUCAUCUUUUGAUCCCGGUGAUAGUGUGUGUGUUCGGGAUUGAUUCAAACGCAUCUUUACGGCUGUAAAUACGUACCAAAUCAGUAACUACGACAUUAGAAUUAAAGUCUUUUAAAGGAGCGAGCUAGAAAGUGUGCAGACGAUUGGUUAGUUGCAACAUCUACACAAGAGGCAUUACGUGAGACCAUAGCUAACAUUUGUUAUUAUCCUUUGAGCUAACCUCGUGUCCAUGAUGUAUUCUCAAGAGAACCAUGAGAUUCUGUAGGGAAGGCUUGUGGUACCGUGAGAAGACAAGUCUACACCACAGAUGUGGAGAGCGUACUUCUGAACUAAUCGCGUGUUACUCUUGAGCUAACCACAGGUCCUUGCUGUAUCCUUAAGAAUACCAUGAGAUGACGUAGGGAGGCCUUGGGAAGACUUGAGUAGAGAGGUACUCACUCGAUCUAUAAGAACUUGCAUGAUUUUAAUAUCAAACUACUGAGGCCAUUGCUUUAUUUAAAUACGACAAUAGACAUACUCUUCACAGUAAUAUUUGCAACAUGUCUGGUUAACACACGGCAGUGCCUCUACAAAAACGAUGCUGUAAUUCAAACGAAAGCAUACUCGACUCCAAAAUCCUGAUCAAAUACAUCUAUUGCGAAUAUAACUAAUUUCAGUUCCUUUUGUGCUAACCGUGAUCAUGCGUUUGAAUCAUGUUUCCGACGAGAAAAAGAAGAUGACGCCGAAUUUCAAUUCAAUAUCGACUGUUCCAGGUUUUGAAACGACUACUAAUAUAUUAACCGGAGCAGAUUUAUUACGUGAUAAGAAUACAUGUGGAAAAUUUAGUAUCCUUGCCGAUGUUUUGCACAUACGAACAAGUCAAUUAUGCUUUGACAGUUUAGAUUACAAUUCAACAAUCAGUCCGUUUAAAUCGAAGUAAUGCACCAACACAUUCAAAACAGGAUGGUCGAGGCGGAGAGAAGAUACAAAGCUAGGUUUUUGAGAGGUCGAGCUACGAUUAAAAGAUUCCAGAAGGGAGAUAUUGUAAUAAUAAAAAUAUAA